AGGCCCUUUUCGUCUGGGGAAUGGAGAGGUACCCCCAGGCUGAAAGACUGCCUGGUCUCCAGCUUGAGGAUAAGGGAGAAGUGUGCCAAACUUGCAGAUUCACAGGAUCAGCUGGGACUGGAGUAUGAAGAACACUUGGGAUUUUUCCUGUUCUCUCUUGAAUAGGAAAUGAAUUCCUAUCAUCAGGAGUUGUGAAAAUUGGAUGAAACCUCCUUCUCAAGUUGUUCCAGAUUAAGAGUUUGUAUGAGUUUGAGGUAUGCAGUUUAGGAAAC
rnacentral:lncRNA from 1 species